rnacentral:rRNA from 1 species
AUCGGUGACAGGUGGUGCAUGGUUGUCGUCAGCUCGUGUCGUGAGAUGUUGGGUUAAGUCCCGCAACGAGCGCAACCUCGACCUUAGUUGCCAGCAUUCAGUUGGGCACUCUAAGGUGACUGCCGGCUAAAAGUCGGAGGAAGGUGGGGAUGACGUCAAAUCAUCAUGCCCCUUAUGACCUGGGCUACACACGUGCUACAAUGGGCGGUACAAAGGGUCGCGAACCCGCGAGGGGGAGCCAAUCCCAAAAAGCCGCUCUCAGUUCGGAUUGCAGGCUGCAACUCGCCUGCAUGAAGCCGGAAUCGCUAGUAAUCGCGGAUCAGCAUGCCGCGGUGAAUACGUUCCCGGGCCUU